rnacentral:rRNA from 1 species
UGGGCAACCUGCCCCUCUCUCUGGGAUAACCCCCGGGGAAACCGGAGCUAAUACCGGAUACUCCGGCUGGAUCGCAUGGUCCGGCCGGGAAAGGUCCGCCGGAGAGGGAUGGGCCCGCGGCCUAUCAGCUUGUUGGUGGGGUCAUGGCUCACCAAGGCGACGACGGGUAGCUGGUCUGAGAGGACGACCAGCCACACUGGAACUGAGAUACGGUCCAGACUCCGUACGGGAGGCA